GAAUAGAUACCCAGGUAGUCCUGGCCCUAAACGAUGAGUGCUUGGUGUGGCGGGUAUCGAUCCCUGCCGUGCCGAAGCUAACGCAUUAAGCACUCCGCCUGGGGAGUACGGUCGCAAGGCUGAAACUCAAAGGGAAUUGACGGGGGGCCCGCACAAGCGGUGGAGCAUGUGGUUUAAUUCGACGCAACGCGAAGAACCCUACCCAGGCUCGAAAUGCAGCUGAUCGCCCAUGAAAGUGGGUUCCCGCAAGGGCAGCUGUAUAGGUGCUGCAUGGCUGUCGUCAGCUCGUGUCGUGAGAUGUUGGGUUAACGUCCCGCAACGAGCGCAACCCUUGUCUGCUGUUGCCAUCAGGUCAAGCUGGGCACUCUGCAGAGACUGCCGGUGACAAACCGGAGGAAGGUGGGGAUGACGUCAAGUCAGCAUGGCCUUUAUGUCUGGGGCUACACACGUGCUACAAUGGCCGGUACAGACCGUUGCAAGCCCGCGAGGGCAAGCUAAUCGGACAAGGUCC
rnacentral:rRNA from 1 species